rnacentral:rRNA from 1 species
UGAACGCUGGCGGCGUGCCUAACACAUGCAAGUCGAACGGAGAUCAUAAGGAAUGCGGCUUCGGCCAAAUGACUUUUGAACUUAGUGGCGGACGGGUGAGUAACGCGUGAGCAACCUGCCUUUCAGAGGGGGAUAACAUUUGGAAACAGAUGCUAAUACCGCAUAAGAUUACAGUAGCGCAUGAUACAGUGAUCAAAGGAGCAAUCCGCUGAAAGAUGGGCUCGCGUCCGAUUAGAUAGUUGGUGAGGUAACGGCUCACCAAGUCGACGAUCGGUAGCCGGACUGAGAGGUUGAACGGCCACAUUGGGACUGAGACACGGCCCAGACUCCUACGGGAGGCAGCAGUGGGGAAUAUUGCACAAUGGGCGAAAGCCUGAUGCAGCAACGCCGCGUGAGGGAAGACGGUUUUCGGAUUGUAAACCUCUGUUUUCGGUGACGAACAAAUGACGGUAACCGAGUAGGAAGCCACGGCUAACUACGUG